AUUCCAGCUCCAAUAGCGUAUAUUAAAGUUGUUGCAGUUAAAAAGCUCGUAGUCUGACCGUUGUCCUGGCAUUGAGCGUCCGUGGUUACUGAUCAUGUGUACGCGAGGUGCUGGACACUACCUUCGGAGGAGCGUUCGUGCUUUUAACUAAGUGCGUGCGGGAUUCCGAUAGUUUACUUUGAGAAAAAUAGAGUGUUCAAAGCAGGCGUUUGCCUUGAAUACAUUAGCAUGGGAUAAUGAAAUAGGACGUUGGUUCUAUUUUGAUGGUUUACGGACCGACGUAAUGAUUAAUAGGGACAGUUGGGGACGUUUAUAUUCCAUGGCUAGAGGUGAAAUUCUUGGAUUCAUGGAAGAUAAACUACUGCGAAAGCAUUUGUCAAAGAUGUUUUCAUUG
rnacentral:rRNA from 1 species